GGCGCUGUAGCCAAGUGGUUAAAACGACAGAUUGGAAUGCCCCAUUUGACUACCUCUCAAUUUAUUCCUCUUUGAGAGCGCAGGAACGAAUCCUGCUGGCGUCG